rnacentral:rRNA from 1 species
AUUGAACGCUGGCGGCAUGCCUUACACAUGCAAGUCGAACGGUAACAGGUCUUCGGAUGCUGACGAGUGGCGAACGGGUGAGUAAUACAUCGGAACGUGCCUAGUAGUGGGGGAUAACUACUCGAAAGAGUGGCUAAUACCGCAUGAGAUCUACGGAUGAAAGCAGGGGAUCGCAAGACCUUGUGCUACUAGAGCGGCCGAUGGCAGAUUAGGUAGUUGGUGGGAUAAAAGCUUACCAAGCCGACGAUCUGUAGCUGGUCUGAGAGGACGAUCAGCCACACUGGGACUGAGACACGGCCCAGACUCCUACGGGAGGCAGCAGUGGGGAAUUUUGGACAAUGGGCGAAAGCCUGAUCCAGCAAUGCCGCGUGCAGGAUGAAGGCCUUCGGGCUGUAAACUGCUUUUGUACGGAACGAAAAGCCCCGGGUUAAUACCCUGGGGUCAUGACGGUACCGUAAGAAUAAGCACCGGCUAACUACGUGCCAGCCGCCGCAGUAACAC